UAGAAAGUGAAAGUGGUGGAGGGUCAGAUAGUUCCCUACUCUCUUCCUCGGCCUACUGGGCAGAGAUGAGUCUCUCUAAAAUCUUGAAGAACCGAUCAACAUCCUCUGAAAGCGACCCAUCUCGGGCUGCCCUGUUCGGUAAGGGACCUCAUCUCCUUGUGUCUUUGUACUUAUUUUUCACAAGGAAGGAUUGGGCGAUAGUUC
rnacentral:lncRNA from 1 species